AUAACAAGAUUACGUGUAUCUGAACAGCUGAGAAGUUAUAUUUCUAUUGUCGUCUGCCAGCUUACAUUUGUUACAAUGUAGAAACGUAAUUAACUAAUGUGCAUUGUAAAACUAAAGUGAAAUUAUUUAUAAGACACAGGUGGCGUUCUGCAAUAUUUAUGUCUUAACUUUGGAUAAUUAACCUGGCUGCUUCAAUGAAGAUUGCAAUUGUGUCGACGCUGUUUCUACUUUGGUUCCUGUAUUUCGUAGAAUGUGAAGAUACCAAGUUAUUAAUAGGUACAAGGAAGAUUCGGCACAAAAGAUCAGUAAGGCAAAGAGCUUUUAAACGAGCAUGUACUGUUCACACAUGUCAG